ACAUAUAUCAGUUGUCUCAGUUGA
rnacentral:siRNA from 1 species